rnacentral:piRNA from 1 species
UAUCAGUUGUGAUAUCAAAAC